rnacentral:rRNA from 1 species
AUGAUUGCAGUCAAGAGGUUUAUCUGUAAUGUAAAAGAAAAUUUCGCCAAAGAGUUGAUCGUCCACCAUGAGAUCAAUCACAAGAAUGUAGUCAGAUUAGUUGGCUACUGUGUAGAUGAAAAUGCCCUGAUGAUGAUCACGGAGUAUAUUCCUAAAGGAAACUUGAGUAACAUCCUUCACCAGGAUAGUACUCCUAUCGCUUUGGAUACACGGCUAAGAAUUGCCACUGAAUGUACAGAAGCGUUGGGCUAUAUGCAUUCACAAAUGUAUACUCAGGUCAUUCAUGGUGACAUCAAGCCUGCUAAUAUACUUCUGGAUGAUGAACUCAGAGCAAAAAUAUCAGACUUUGGAAUAUCAAGACUAGUCAACACUGAAAAUACUCUAUAUACUCUAAAUGUGAUAGGAAGUAUAGGCUACAUGGACCCUCUGUUUACUCAAAAUGGUCGCCUCACAGCGAAGAGUGAUGUUUAUAGUUUUGGAGUUGUACUCCUGGAACUGAUCACUAGAAAAAAAGCAAGAACUGAGGAUGGGGAGAUUGGCCUGGUUGAAAGUUUUAUUCAGUCUCUUUCAAAAGGGUUUAGGAGGGUGAGGGAGAUGUUUGAUCCUGAAAUUGCAACAUCGAGCGACAUGAAGACUAUCGAAGAGAUUGCUAAGUUGGUAGGUAAAUGCUUGAGGAUGCAACACGACAAACGCCCUGAGAUGUUAGAAGUUGCAGAACGUCUUCGCAAACUUAGAAAGGUUGCACAUCAGGUACAAGAAAAACCAACUCUGUUUCCUUGGGGAAGGAAAAAUAAACUAGCUCUAGCCGAAACACCAUCUCUGGAAAGCAGCAGCAGUAGCCAAAAUGGGAGAACUGUAGCUCCAACUGAAAAGACGCCAUCACAAGAAAGCAGUGGCAGUAUCCCCAAAACCAGAAUUGUGGCUCCAGACAAAGCGGCACUAUCACAGGUAAGCCGUGAUAGUAUACAAAAUGUGGGAACCUCUAUCAUUAGGUCGACAGUGAGAGGCCAAUUGUUCGACCUGAAAGACCUGCUUGGGGCAUCGACUGAAGUUCUUGGCAAGGGUACAGUCGGGACAACAUACAAAGUAACAGUUGACAGUGGAUAUGAGCUGGUGGUCAAGAGGUUGAAAGAUGUGGACUUGGGGGAGGCGAUCUUUGGGCGGCUUGUCAUGCUGUUUGGCACCAUCCAGAACAAACACGUAGUGCCACUGCUGUGGUAUUACUGCAGCAAGGAUGAGAAGCAGCUCGUAUAUAAUGUCAUCCCCUUGGGUAGCCUAGCAAAAGCACUCCACGGCGACCAAGGUUCUGGCCCAGCUCCACUGGACUGGGAGCAGCGGUUGGCUAUCUCACUAGCUGCCGCGCACGGUGUGCAGGCUAUACAUUUAGCUGGACCAUCGAGCUGCCAUGGCAACAUCAAGUCUUCCAACAUCCUGCUCACUGGAACCCACGACGCAUGUGUGUCGGAGCAUGGCCUUAUAACACUUGGAAUUUAUUCCAAUGCCUCCGGUUACCAUGCACCUGAGGUCACCCGCAAUAGAUGGGUCUCCCAGAAAUCCGACGUCUACAGCUUUGGCAUCCUAUUGCUGAAGCUUCUCACCCGCAAGUCUCCAUGGGGGAAUAGAUUUCAGGAUGACAGGGGAGUAGAUUUGCCACGGUGGGUGUGUUCCAUUAUACCUGAGGAGUGGACGGCGGAGGUAUUCGACGUGGAGCUCCUAGCAUGGGGGCAGAAGGACGGGAAAGAGGAGUGCAUGGUGCGACUUAUGCGGCUCGGGCUAAAGUGUUGCAGUCAAGAUGCUGACUCGAGGCCUACAAUGUCUGAUGUUGUGCAGCGGAUUGAGGAGAUCGGACAGUCUAAUUGCUGA